UAUCAAUAAGCGGAGGAAAAGAAACCAACAGGGAUUGCCUCAGUAGCGGCGAGUGAAGCGGCAAAAGCUCAAAUUUGAAAUCUGGCGUCUUUGGCGUCCGAGUUGUAAUUUGAAGAAGGUAUCUUUGGGCCCGGCUCUUGUCUAUGUUCCUUGGAACAGGACGUCACAGAGGGUGAGAAUCCCGUGCGAUGAGAUGACCCGGGUCUGUGUAAAGUUCCUUCGACGAGUCGAGUUGUUUGGGAAUGCAGCUCUAAGUGGGUGGUAAAUUCCAUCUAAAGCUAAAUAUUGGCGAGAGACCGAUAGCGAACAAGUACAGUGAUGGAAAGAUGAAAAGAACUUUGAAAAGAGAGUGAAAAAGUACGUGAAAUUGUUGAAAGGGAAGGGCUUGAGAUCAGACUUGGUAUUUUGCAUGUUGCUCUCUCGGGGGCGGCCGCUGCGGUUUACGGGGCCAGCAUCGGUUUGGAGCGGCAGGAUAAUGGCGGAGGAAUGUGGCACGGCUUCUGCUGUGUGUUAUAGCCUCUGACGAUACUGCCAGCCUAGACCGAGGACUGCGGUUUUUAACCUAGGAUGUUGGCAUAAUGAUCUUAAGUCGCCCGUCUUGAAACACG
rnacentral:rRNA from 1 species